rnacentral:rRNA from 1 species
CCUACGGGAUGCAGCAGUGGGGGAUAUUGCACAAUGGGGGAAACCCUGAUGCAGCAACGCCGCGUGAGGGAAGGAGUUUUUCGGAUUGUAAACCUCUGUCAGUAGGGAAGAAAGAAAUGACGGUACCUAAAUAAGAAGCCCCGGCUAACUACGUGCUAGCAGCCGCGGUAAUACGUAGGGGGCAAGCGUUAUCCGGAAUUACUGGGUGUAAAGGGAGAGUAGGCGGUCAGGUAAGACAUAUGUGAAAGCCUGAAGCUUAACCUCAGGAGUGCAUAAGGAACUAUCUAGCUAGAGUACAGGAGAGGAAAGCGGAAUUCCUAGUGUAGCGGUGAAAUGCGUAGAUAUUAGGAAGAACACCAAUUGCGAAGGCAGCUUUCUGGACUGAAACUGACGCUGAGGCUCGAAAGCGCGGGGAGCGAACAGGAUUAGAUACCCGAGUAGUC